rnacentral:rRNA from 1 species
UACGUAGGGGGCAAGCGUUGUCCGGAAUCAUUGGGCGUAAAGAGCGUGUAGGCGGCCAGGUAGGUCUGCUGUGAAAACUCGAGGCUCAACCUCGAGACGUCGGCGGAAACCAUCUGGCUAGAGUCCGGAAGAGGAGACUGGAAUUCCUGGUGUAGCGGUGAAAUGCGCAGAUAUCAGGAAGAACACCUAUGGCGAAGGCAGCUCUCUGGGACGGUACUGACGCUGAGAAGCGAAAGCGUGGGGAGCGAACAGG